AACGAACGCUGGCGGCAUGCCUUACACAUGCAAGUCGAACGGCAGCACGGGGGCAACCCUGGUGGCGAGUGGCGAACGGGUGAGUAAUACAUCGGAACGUGCCCCGUAGCGGGGGACAACCAGUCGAAAGACUGGCUAAUACCGCAUACGCUCCACGGAGGAAAGCAGGGGAUCGCAAGACCUUGCACUAUGGGAGCGGCCGAUGCCCGAUUAGCUAGUUGGUGAGGAAAGGCUCACCAAGGCAACGAUCGGUAGCUGGUCUGAGAGGACGACCAGCCACACUGGGACUGAGACACGGCCCAGACUCCUACGGGAGGCAGCAGUGGGGAAGUUUUGGACAAUGGGCGCAAGCCUGAUCCAGCCAUGCCGCGUGCGGGAAGAA
rnacentral:rRNA from 1 species